ensembl:lncRNA
CCCCUCCCCUCCCUCCGCUCCUCGGCCGGCGGCGUGGGCAGGGCGCUGGGCUGGCUGCGAGCUUCGGGGCUGCUCUGCGACCCUGCCCGUGCGAGGAGCCGCGUGAGGAGGCGGAGAGGAAGGCAGACAGAUGGUUCUGAAUGCCCCAUGGCUGCAGCUACAUCAGUUCAUUCAUUUCUUGCCUAUUGUCACUUGGAAGCAUUCUUCAGGAUGACUCAACAGUGGGAUGGAUGUUCAGAUACCAAAAAGGUGCUGGUAACUUGACAGGAACUUCCACAUUCUUUGGAGGUAUGUGUGCAUGUAAACGUCUCAUUGACUACUACCCUGAUUAUGUCACGUGGAACUAUUAUUUAUUUCAGUUAAGUUCUGAAAUAGAAACAGACAUAAUCUCACAUACUUUUCCUCAUUCAGGUACUCAGAACAAAAUAGGCAUUUACACCUUCACAGUGAAUGUUAGGGCUUCAUGUUUAGUGAAAACUUUGUUGUACAUAACUGGUGGAACUUUUUGCUGACUUUGCAUCUUCCAGAGUAGGAUAAUUUAAUUUUGCUGUAUUAAAAAGUAUUGCAUUACUAACAAUAGAACUUCAGAAUUAUCAGUUUUAAAGGGA